UGAAUACGAGAUGCUACGGCGUCGAAGCAGUCUAUGUCAUACUUCCAAGAAAAGCUUGCACUGUCAUAAACAAAUAAUGCCUGUACCAUAACCGACACAGGUGGGUAGGUAGAGUAUACUAAGGGGCGCGAGAUAACUCUCUCUAAGGAACUCGGCAAAAUGACUCCGUAACUUCGGGAGAAGGAGUGCCUUAUUUAUAAGGUUGCAAUAACAAGAUCCAAGCAACUGUUUACCAAAAACACAGGUCUCCGCUAAGUCGUAAGACGAUGUAUGGGGGCUGACGCCUGCCCAGUGCCAGAAGGUUAAAGAAGUUGGUUAGCAUCCGCGAAGCUGAUAACUGAAGCCCUGGUGAACGCGGCCGUAACAAUAACGGUCCUAAGGUAGCGGAAUUCCUUGUCGGGUAAGUUCCGACCCGCACGAAAGGCGUAAUGAUUUGGAUACUGUCUCGGAGAGGGGCUCGGUGAAAUAGACUUGUCUGUGAAGAUGCGGACUACCUGCACCAGGACAGAAAGACCCUAUGAAGCUUUACUGUAACCUGAAAUUGAAAUUGGACUUUACUUGCGCAGUAUAGGUGGGAGGCGUUGAGAAUAUUCUUGCGGGAUUAUUGGAGCCAUCAGUGAGAUACCACUCUUGUAAUGUUAGAUUUCUAACUUUGUAUCAUUAUCUGGUCAAAGAACAGUUUCAGGCGGGCAGUUUGACUGGGGCGGUCGCCUCCUAAACGGUAACGGAGGCGCACAAAGGUUUCCUCUGAACGGGUAGAAAUCGUAUCUAGAGUGUAAAGGCAUAAGGAAGCUUGACUGUGAGACCUACAAGUCGAGCAGGGACGAAAGUCGGUCUUAGUGAUCUGACGGUGCUGAGUGGAAAGGCCGUCACUCAACGGAUAAAAGUUACUCUAGGAUAACAGGCUGAUCUCCCCCAAGAGUUCACAUCGACGGGGAGGUUUGGCACCUCGAUGUCGGCUCAUCGCAUCCUGGGGCGGUAGUACGUCCCAAGGGUUGGGCUGUUCGCCCAUGAAAGCGGUACGCGAGCUGGGUUCAGAACGUCGUGAGACAGUUCGGUCCAUAUCCGGUGUAGGCGUUAGAAUAUUGAGAGGAGCCUUCUUUAGUACGAGAGGACCGAGAAGGACAUACCUCUGGUGUACCAGUUAUCGUGCCAACGGUAAACGCUGGGUAGCUAUGUGUGGAGUGGAUAACCGCUGAAAGCAUCUAAGUGGGAAGCCCACCUCAAGAUAAG
rnacentral:rRNA from 1 species